AUUGAACGCUGGCGGCAUGCCUUACACAUGCAAGUCGAACGGCAGCGCGGACUUCGGUCUGGCGGCGAGUGGCGAACGGGUGAGUAAUACAUCGGAACGUACCCUGUUGUGGGGGAUAACUAGUCGAAAGAUUAGCUAAUACCGCAUACGACCUGAGGGUGAAAGUGGGGGACCGCAAGGCCUCACGCAGCAGGAGCGGCCGAUGUCUGAUUAGCUAGUUGGUGGGGGAAAGGCCCACCAAGGCGACGAUCAGUAGCUGGUCUGAGAGGACGAUCAGCCGAACUGGGGCUCAGAAACGGCCCAGACUCCUACGGGAGGCAGCAGUGGGGAAUUUUGGACAAUGGGGGCAACCCUGAUCCGGCAAUGCCGCGUGUGUGAAGAAGGCCGUCGGGUUGUAAAGCACUUUUGUCCGGAAAGAAAUCGCGCUGGUUAAUACCUGGCGUGGAUGACGGUACCGGAAGAAUAAGCACCGGCUAACUACGUGCCAGCCGCCGCCGUAA
rnacentral:rRNA from 1 species